UACGAAGGGGGGCUAGCGUUGCUCGGAAUCACUGGGCGUAAAGCGCACGUAGGCGGCUUUUUAAGUCAGGGGUGAAAUCCUGGAGCUCAACUCCAGAACUGCCUUUGAUACUGGCGAUCUUGAGUCCGGAAGAGGUGAGUGGAACUCCUAGUGUAGAGGUGGAAUUCGUAGAUAUUAGGAAGAACACCAGUGGCGAAGGCGGCUCACUGGUCCGGUACUGACGCUGAGGUGCGAAAGCGUGGGGAGCAAACAGG
rnacentral:rRNA from 1 species